rnacentral:rRNA from 1 species
ACGGAGGGUGCAAGCGUUAAUCGGAAUUACUGGGCGUAAAGCGCACGCAGGCGGUUUGUUAAGUCAGAUGGGAAAUCCCCGGGCUCAACCUGGGAACUGCAUCUGAUACUGGCAAGCUUGAGUCUCGUAGAGGGGGGUAGAAUUCCAGGUGUAGCGGUGAAAUGCGUAGAGAUCUGUAGGUGUUCCGGUGGCUUAGGCGGCCCCCUGUUCUCUUACUCGCUCUCUUCUUCCUUCUCUUUUCUUCCCCCCUG